rnacentral:rRNA from 1 species
UACGUAGGGGGCAAGCGUUGUCCGGAUUUAUUGGGCGUAAAGAGCGUGUAGGCGGCCAAACAGGUCAGCUGUGAAAACUCGAGGCUCAACCUCGAGACGUCGGUUGAAACCGUUUGGCUAGAGUCCGGAAGAGGAGAGUGGAAUUCCCGGUGUAGCGGUGAAAUGCGUAGAUAUCGGAAGGAACAUCAGUGGCGAAAGCGACUUCCUGGACCAAUACUGACGCUCAUGUGCGAAAGCGUGGGGAGCAAACAGG